rnacentral:rRNA from 1 species
CGAGCGGCGAACGGGUGAGUAACACGUGGGUAACCUGCCCUGUACUCUGGGAUAAGCCUGGGAAACUAGGUCUAAUACCGGAUAUGACCUGCCUCCGCAUGGUGGUGGGUGGAAAGUUCCGGCGGUACGGGAUGGACCCGCGGCCUAUCAGCUUGUUGGUGGGGUAGUGGCCUACCAAGGCGACGACGGGUAGCCGGCCUGAGAGGGUGACCGGCCACACUGGGACUGAGACACGGCCCAGACUCCUACGGGAGGCAGCAGUGGGGAAUAUUGCACAAUGGGCGAAAGCCUGAUGCAGCGACGCCGCGUGAGGGAUGACGGCCUUCGGGUUGUAAACCUCUUUCAGCGGGGACGAAGGGUGACUGACGGUACCCGCAGAAGAAGCACCGGCUAACUACGUGCCAGCAGCCGCGGUAAUACGUAGGGUGCGAGCGUUGUCCGGAAUUAUUGGGCGUAAAGAGCUCGUAGGCGGUUUGUUGCGUCGGCUGUGAAAACUUCACGCUUAACGUGGAGCCUGCAGUCGAUACGGGCAGACUUGAGUUCGGCAGGGGAGACUGGAAUUCCUGGUGUAGCGGUGAAAUGCGCAGAUAUCAGGAGGAACACCGGUGGCGAAGGCGGGUCUCUGGGCCGAUACUGACGC